UACGUAGGGUGCGAGCGUUAAUCGGAAUUACUGGGCGUAAAGCGUGCGCAGGCGGUUCGACAAGUCUGAUGUGAAAGCCCCGGGCUCAACCUGGGAAUGGCAUUGGAAACUGGCGAGCUAGAGUGUGGCAGAGGGGGGUGGAAUUCCGCGUGUAGCGGUGAAAUGCGUAGAUAUCUGGAGGAAUACCGGUGGCGAAGGCGGCAUCCUGGACCGGCAUUGACGCUGAGUGAGCGAAAGCGUGGGGAGCGAACAGG
rnacentral:rRNA from 1 species